rnacentral:rRNA from 1 species
GACGAACGCUGGCGGCGUGCUUAACACAUGCAAGUCGAACGGGAAGGCCCUGCUUUUGUGGGGUGCUCGAGUGGCGAAAGGGGGAGUAACACGUGAGUAACCUGCCCUUGACUUUGGGAUAACUUCAGGAAACUGGGGCUAAUACCGGAUAGGAGCUCCUGCUGCAUGGUGGGGGGUGGAAAGUUUCGGCGGUUGGGGAUGGACUCGCGGCUUAUCAGCUUGUUGGUGGGGGAGUGGCUUACCAAGGCUUUGACGGGUAGCCGGCCUGAGAGGGUGACCGGCCACAUUGGGACUGAGAUACGGCCCAGACUCCUACGGGAGGCAGCAGUGGGGAAUAUUGCACAAUGGGCGGAAGCCUGAUGCAGCAACGCCGCGUGCGGGAUGACGGCCUUCGGGUUGUAAACCGCUUUCGCCUGUGACGAAGCGUGAGUGACGGUAAUGGGUAAAGAAGCACCGGCUAACUACGU